GUCGAUCUGGUCUAUCGGUUAGGGCACCCAUAUUUGGUUGGGGGAUGCUUGGUUCGACUCCAGCGGUCGACA